UACGGGGGGGGCAAGCGUUGUUCGGAAUUACUGGGCGUAAAGGGCUCGUAGGUGGCCAACUAAGUCAGACGUGAAAUCCCUCGGCUUAACCGGGGAACGGCCUCUGAUACUGGCUGGCUGGAGUUCGGGAGAGGGAUGCGGAAUUCCAGGUGUAGCGGUGAAAUGCGUAGAUAUCUGGAGGAACACCGGUGGCGAAGGCGGCAUCCUGGACCGGUAUUGACGCUGAGGCGCGAAAGCCAGGGGAGCAAAGCGGG
rnacentral:rRNA from 1 species